rnacentral:sRNA from 1 species
UCAAUAGUGUUGAUAAACUUUAAUGAUAU